AUAAGCUGUGGGACCAGCAGGUCCACCCCCCCCCCCCCCCAGGUGUGGAGGAGGCGAUGGGAGUCUGAACGCCCUGUGGAGCUACCAGGGGCAGGCCGCUGACGAGCUGGGCUUCAAUGAGGGGUACAUGGUGACCAUCCUGCAGAAGGCCCAGGGGGUGGACUGGUGGUGGGCCUCGCUCUGCGGCCGCGAGGGCUUUGUGCCCAACUACUACUUUGGGCUCUUUCCAAAGGUCCGUCCUAAGUCUCUGUGUUGAUGCGUCUCUCUGGGCUCACGGAUCAGAGGACGUCGUUGUCUCAUCUGGUGUUCUACACCAUGUCCCUCCACCAGGGGGAGCCAGGGAGUUAGGCCUGGCCUUUACGAGUGGCCAGGCGGACAGGUAGACACGUGGACAAGGGGAGGGACUUCAACUGGUUUGCAACUGCUGCAAUUGUGAGGAGCACAAGAAGAGGUGUGCGUAGGGCGUUUCGUUGAUAGCCAGUUGUGGAAAAUAGUUAAGUGUCUAAAACUAAAGUUUAAAUCCAUCUAGUGACGCCUCACAAGUUGUCUGUGCGAACUAAAAUAAACUUUUAAGUGUCUGUUGUGUACUUUUGAUUGCGAGUGGAGAUAUUUAGCCCGCCAGACGGACUGGAUCAGUUAGCUGACCGGACCAGUCUAGCCUGUAAGGGAAGGGAGUUGGUUCAAUCCCAGACAGGGGUGGCCAGAUGAAUCACAGCUUCACACUAAAAGUCCCGAUAACAUAGAAAUUACUUUACUUUGUACUUUGAUGGCAGAACUUGCCUUCACCUUUAUGUAGAGGUGUAGUUUAAAUGUAUCCUUCAGCAUGGGCCACAACCUGGUUGCAUACAAUGACACUCUUUUAACAGCUGUGAAGAGAACUUAUUCACCUGGUGGCCAUACUGGGUAGUUGGGUGGGUAAACCUCUUUUAGAGGCUUCGAAAAUCAUGGCAACUCAAUGCAUCUAUUUCUAGAUCUGCAUUCCAUUUGAAAUUAGUUUGGCAAACCAUUUAGGUAGCAUUAAGAAUAAAUAUCUAUUGUGUCCACAAAGCCCCAAUGAUUAUAGAAGGUUUACCCACCCAACUGACCAACAUGGCCAACGCUUUUCACAGUUUAGUCUGUUUUUUUCUGAUAUUGAAAAUGUACAGCUCUGAUGGAUUUCCUCUCUAUUUUGCUCAAUAUAGCAAUCGUUUAUGUGUAUGAAUCUGAAUCUUGUUGAAUAAAUAUAUAUCAGGAAGAAUGUGUAUUUUGACCUCCGGCAGCCUUUUUUACGGGCACAGAAAUACUCAGUAUCCUCUCCAAGUUCUCCAUUGAGGGUUCAUGUAUUUUAGUACAUUUAAAAAAUAAACGUGUUGAUGAUGAA